rnacentral:rRNA from 1 species
UACGUAGGGUCCGAGCGUUGUCCGGAAUUACUGGGCGUAAAGAGCUCGUAGGUGGUUUGUCGCGUUGUUCGUGAAAACUCACAGCUUAACUGUGGGCGUGCGGGCGAUACGGGCAGACUUGAGUACUGCAGGGGAGACUGGAAUUCCUGGUGUAGCGGUGGAAUGCGCAGAUAUCAGGAGGAACACCGGUGGCGAAGGCGGGUCUCUGGGCCGUUACUGACGCUGAGGAGCGAAAGCGUGGGGAGCGAACAGG